rnacentral:rRNA from 1 species
UACGGAGGGUGCAAGCGUUGUCCGGAAUCACUGGGCGUAAAGGGCGCGUAGGCGGCCCGGUAAGUAGGGGGUGAAAUCCUGCGGCUUAACCGCAGGGCUGCCUUCUAAACUGUCGGGCUCGAGCACGGUAGAGGCAGAUGGAAUUCCCGGUGUAGCGGUGGAAUGCGUAGAGAUCGGGAAGAACAUCAGUGGCGAAGGCGGUCUGCUGGGCCGUUGCUGACGCUGAGGCGCGGCAGCGUGGGGAGCAAACAGG